GGUGGGGCAGCCAGGGCAGCGUCAAGAGUCUGAGCCAGGACAUGGCCAUUUGGUCUAGCCACAUUUCAAGCACCCAGCGGCCACACGCGGCUUGUGGCGACCUCACACACAGUCCUUUAUCAAGCUCUGGCCCUCAGAUCUGGGAAAAGAAAUCCUGGGUUGGAAAAAUUCAUGUGUUCAGAAAAAAGGCUCUUGGCACUUUCCUCUGGUGACUCUGUAGUCACGCGCCAUUGAGGAAUUCAGAGAAAACACGGAGAGUCAGAAAGGCUGCAAACACUGGCUUCCCAAGCAACCCGGGACUAUUUUGGGGAGUAGCCUCGGAAGGGGCAGGACAUUGGAGCCAGGCCGGGCUAUGGGGCCUGGGCUGCCACGUGUCAGCCACAGAAACGGCUAGCAUUCGGGCCACGCUGGCGGCGCUCUCGGCCCCGGCGGGGCGUGGAGAAGCGCAGCCGCUAGCCUCCGGUGAGGCGAUGGGGAGCGGUGCCACAGCGCCGCCCGCCGGCCACGCGCCGUAACUGCAGGCGCAGCGCCGCUUCGGCCUGUCCUGUUAGCCAGCAGCCGAGUUGACGGCCAAGGCCGCCGCCUCCAGCUGGUUUUAAUUGAGGGGAUGGUGCCUGUGUGCAGGACGUUGAAUACGAGCCCAUGGAGCCUCCAAUUCCAGUACUCCGGCCUGCAGGUCCAGGUAAUACUGGGGCUGCCGGGCCAGUUUCCCCCUCCUCCUGCCCUUGCCUGCUUUUUGUUGGGGGACUAGGAUUUUGUCUUCUGGGUCACUUCUAAAGCACGUUAAGGAUGGUCAUCAUUUGUAUUUCAGGAGAACUAAUGUUUAGCUCUGCUAGGAGUAACAUUUUCGGAAAUCACGUUUUCCAUUUUGGACUCUAUUCUGUAUUUAAAUGCUAUGGAUUAAAAUAAAAGUAAGCCAACAGGAGGCCCCAGCGAGGAUCGAACUCGCGACCCCUGGUUUACAAGACCAGUGCUCUAACCACUGAGCUAUGGAGCCCACGUGAGGCGUUGUUUUCAGGAAUUCACAGAUCUUACCAACAACAUUGGUUUAUAUGGCGGUCCGUGAGAAUUUGACCCCAUGUGUGUAUUAUCAAUGGUACUUAUAAAAGGCUAUGAAAUGCCAAAGAAAAAUGCUUACAACAUGAUGAUAAGUGGAAAACACUGAAGCCUCAAAUCAUAUGUUUGUGAUUACAAUACACUAAAUCAUACCUAACUUAUGCAUACAGACAAGGGCUGGGAGGGAAAGUGCAAAAAUGAAAUGGUGUUCUGGUCAUAUUUUCA
rnacentral:tRNA from 10 species